GACGAACGCUGGCGGCGUGCCUAAUACAUGCAAGUAGAACGCAGUUGCGAACGGGUGAGUAACGCGUAGGUAACCUGCCUCAUAGCGGGGGAUAACUAUUGGAAACGAUAGCUAAUACCGCAUACUGUGAGCUGGACCUGCGUUGUUUUAGGUAGUUGGUGAGGUAAAGGCUCACCAAGGCGACGAGACAAUGCCGACCUGAGAGGGUGGUCGGCCAAAAUGGGACUGGGGCACGGCCCAGACUCCUACGGGAGGCAGCAGUAGGGAAAUUUCGGCAAAUGGCGGAAGUCUGACCGAGCAACGCCGCGUGAGGGGAGAAGGUUUUCGGAUCGUAAAGCUCUGUUGUUAGGGGAGCGGUAUCUAACCAGAAAGGGACGGCUAACUACGUGCCAGCCGCCGCGGUAAUAC
rnacentral:rRNA from 1 species